UUGAUAACACCAGUCUCGACACGACCGACGGGAACUGUACCAAUACCACCGAUCUUGUAAACAUCUUGAAGGGGAAGACGAAGAGGCUUGUCAGUGGGACGUGCAGGGGGCUCAAUGGAGUCAAUAGCCUCCAAAAGAGUCUUACCCUUGACGACACCAGCCUUGGUCUCCUUUUGCCAGCCUUGGUACCAGGGCAUGUUGGUGGUGGGCUCAAUCAUGUUAUCACCUUGGAAACCGGAGACAGGGACGAAAGGAACGGUCUUGGGGUUGAAACCGACCUUCUUGAUGAAGUUGGAGGUCUCCUUAACGAUUUCCUCGAAACGAGCUUGGGACCAGCCAGUGGUGUCCAUCUUGUUGACGGCAACAAUAAGUUGCUUGACACCCAAGGUGUAAGCAAGCAAAGCGUGCUCACGGGUUUGACCAUCCUUGGAGAUACCAGCCUCGAAUUCACCAGUACCACCACCAAUAAUAAGGAUAGCACAGUCAGCUUGAGAAGUACCGGUAAUCAUGUUCUUGAUGAAAUCACGGUGACCGGGGGCAUCAAUGACAGUAACAUUGUACUUGGGAGUCUCGAACUUCCAAAGGGCAAUGUCGAUGGUGAUACCACGUUCACGCUCGGCCUUGAGCUUGUCCAAAACCCAGGCGUACUUGAAGGAACCCUUACCCAACUCGGUAGCUUCCUUCUCGAAUUUUUCAAUGGUACGCUUGUCAAUACCACCGCACUUGUAAAUCAAGUGACCAGUGGUGGUAGACUUACCAGAAUCGACGUGACCGAUAACAACGACGUUAAUAUGUCCCUUUUCUUUGCCCAUUUUGAUUAAUCACUAAGGAAAAUAAGUAAUAAUUCGCAAGAUGUAGCGCUUGGCUUACGGUGUUGCAGACAAAGAAGAGGUUGGAUAUCACGAUUCAUAUAUAGAACUCGUUGGAAAGCAGUCACAUCUGGCGUGGCUACGAAAAUUUUCUAAAGUUAAAGUAAUACAUGAAUUCUGGCAGAAAUUUGGGGCAUAAAUCAUAUACUUAUUAUGCUAAUUGUAUAUAAAUGAGCAUUAAAUGUACAUUUCUGGUUUAAUUACUGAUAAUCUGAAAUGUGAUGAUAAAAAGACCAA